rnacentral:rRNA from 1 species
UGGGGAAUAUUGGACAAUGGGCGCAAGCCUGAUCCAGCCAUGCCGCGUGUGUGAAGAAGGCCUUUUGGUUGUAAAGCACUUUAAGCGAGGAGGAGGCUACUUGGAUUAAUACUCUAAGAUAGUGGACGUUACUCGCAGAAUAAGCACCGGCUAACUCUGUGCCAGCAGCCGCGGUAAUACAGAGGGUGCGAGCGUUAAUCGGAUUUACUGGGCGUAAAGCGUGCGUAGGCGGCUUCUUAAGUCGGAUGUGAAAUCCCUGAGCUUAACUUAGGAAUUGCAUUCGAUACUGGGAAGCUAGAGUAUGGGAGAGGAUGGUAGAAUUCCAGGUGUAGCGGUGAAAUGCGUAGAGAUCCGGAGGAAUACCGAUGGCGAAGGCAGCCAUCUGGCCUAAUACUGACGCUGAGGUACGAAAGCAUGGGGAGCAAACAGG